AGUGAACGCUGGCGGUAGGCCUAACACAUGCAAGUCGAACGGCAGCACAGUAAGAGCUUGCUCUUACGGGUGGCGAGUGGCGGACGGGUGAGGAAUACAUCGGAAUCUACUUUUUCGUGGGGGAUAACGUAGGGAAACUUACGCUAAUACCGCAUACGACCUACGGGUGAGAGCAGGGGAUCUUCGGACCUUGCGCGAUUGAAUGAGCCGAUGUCGGAUUAGCUAGUUGGCGGGGUAAAGGCCCACCAAGGCGACGAUCCGUAGCUGGUCUGAGAGGAUGAUCAGCCACACUGGAACUGAGUCACGGUCCAGACUCCUACGGGAGGCAGCAGUGGGGAAUAUUGGACAAUGGGCGCAAGCCUGAUCCAGCCAUACCGCGUGGGUGAAGAAGGCCUUCGGGUUGUAAAGCCCUUUUGUUGGGAAAGAAAAGCAGCAGGUUAAUACCCCGCUGUUCUGACGGUACCCAAAGAAUAAGCACCGGCUAACUUCGUG
rnacentral:rRNA from 1 species